rnacentral:rRNA from 1 species
CAGUAGCCGCGGUAAUACGUAGGUGGCAAGCGUUGUCCGGAAUUAUUGGGCGUAAAGGGCUCGCAGGCGGUUUCUUAAGUCUGAUGUGAAAGCCCCCGGCUCAACCGGGGAGGGUCAUUGGAAACUGGGAAACUUGAGUGCAGAAGAGGAGAGUGGAAUUCCACGUGUAGCGGUGAAAUGCGUAGAGAUGUGGAGGAACACCAGUGGCGAAGGCGACUCUCUGGUCUGUAACUGACGCUGAGGAGCGAAAGCGUGGGGAGCAAACAGGAUUAGAUACCCCCGUAGUCCCUGUCUCUUAUAA